rnacentral:rRNA from 1 species
CCUACGGGAGACAGCAGUGGGGAAUAUUGGUCAAUGGACGAGAGUCUGAACCAGCAAAGCAGCGUGAAGGAUGACUGCCCUAUGGUUUGUAAGCUUCUUUUAUAUGGGAAUAAAAUGUUCCACGUGUGGGAGUUUGUAUGUCCCAUAUGUAUAAGGAUCGGCUAACUCCGUGCCAGCAGCCGCGGUAAUACGGCGGAUCCGAGCGUUAUCCGGAUUUAUUGGGUUUAAAGGGAGCGUAGGUGGAUUGUUAAGUCAGUUGUGAAAGUUUGCGGCUCAACCGUAAAAUUGCAGUUGAAACUGGCAGUCUUGAGUACAGUAGAGGUGGGCGGAAUUCGUGGUGUAGCGGUGAAAUGCUUAGAUAUCACGAAGAACACCGAUUGCGAAGGCAGCUCACUGGACUGCAACUGACACUGAGGCUCGAAAGUGUGGGUAGCAAACAGGAUUAGAUACCCGGGUAGUC